rnacentral:rRNA from 1 species
AUUGAACGCUGGCGGCAGGCCUAACACAUGCAAGUCGAACGGUAACAGGAAGAAGCUUGCUUCUUUGCUGACGAGUGGCGGACGGGUGAGUAAUGUCUGGGAAACUGCCUGAUGGAGGGGGAUAACUACUGGAAACGGUAGCUAAUACCGCAUAACGUCGCAAGACCAAAAAGGGGGACCUUCGGGCCUCUUGCCAUCGGAUGUGCCCAGAUGGGAUUAGCUAGUAGGUGGGGUAACGGCUCACCUAGGCGACGAUCCCUAGCUGGUCUGGGAGGAUGACCAGCCACACUGGAACUGAGACACGGUCCAGACUCCUACGGGAGGCAGCAGUGGGGAAUAUUGCACAAUGGGCGCAAGCCUGAUGCAGCCAUGCCGCGUGUAUGAAGAAGGCCUUCGGGUUGUAAAGUACUUUCAGCGGGGAGGAAGGGAGUAAAGUUAAUACCUUUGCUCAUUGACGUUACCCGCAGAAGAAGCACCGGCUAACUCCGUG